GCGUUUGUGGUUUAGUGGUAAAAUCCAUCGUUGCCAUACAUUCGAGUGAAGACCGAAUGCAGUAAUCGAUGGGCCCCGGGUUCGAUUCCCGGCGAACGCA